UACGUAGGGUCCGAGCGUUGUCCGGAAUUAUUGGGCGUAAAGGGCUUGUAGGCGGUCUGUCACGUCGGAAGUGAAAUCUCAGAGCUCAACUCUGAGCCUGCUUCCGAUACGGGCAGACUAGAGGGAUGCAGGGGAGAACGGAAUUCCUGGUGGAGCGGUGGAAUGCGCAGAUAUCAGGAGGAACACCGGUGGCGAAGGCGGUUCUCUGGGCAUUACCUGACGCUGAGAAGCGAAAGCGUGGGGAGCAAACAGG
rnacentral:rRNA from 1 species